AGUCCAUGGUGUGGGCAGCAUCGCAAUAGGUCCUUGUACCUCUCCCAAGUGUCGUACAUCGAUUUAUCGUCAAAUUGUAUAAAAGAAGAUAUGUUAUUUCUAAGUUU
rnacentral:snoRNA from 1 species